rnacentral:lncRNA from 1 species
GAGCUGACCUUUGCCUAGCUGUGAGGUUUGCUCGAGCCCCCAAGGUAUCAGCAACAUACGGGGUGUUGCUUGUGACCACAUGCUAUUCAUUAGUGAAAUAGUCAUACCAUCCCUAAAGCUUUUGUUUUAGGAAGGACCUUGGCAGAUGAGGAUGAGGGGUUGGAUAUUUUUUAUGAUGCAAUAUACGGAACAUGUAAUGGAGAAUAAUUUUUAGAGAGGUAUAUUUACCAGUGUUGAAGUUAUGUACCCUUUAGGAGCUGAGAUCACGAGGAUGUUGAAAAAGCCAUGAAGCUCGUUGACCACACCACGAGCAGAGAGGUCGAUGUACCCCUU